AUUGAACGCUGGCGGCAUGCCUUACACAUGCAAGUCGAACGGCAGCGGACCUUCGGGUGCCGGCGAGUGGCGAACGGGUGAGUAAUAUAUCGGAACGUACCUUUCAGUGGGGGAGUAACGUAGCGAAAGUUACGCUAAUACCGCAUAUUCUGUGAGCAGGAAAGCAGGGGAGUCGCAAGACCUUGCGCUGAUUGAGCGGCCGAUAUCAGAUUAGCUAGUUGGUGAGGUAAAGGCUCACCAAGGCGACGAUCUGUAGCGGGUCUGAGAGGAUGAUCCGCCACACUGGAACUGAGACACGGUCCAGACUCCUACGGGAGGCAGCAGUGGGGAAUUUUGGACGAAUGGGCGCAAGCCUGAUCCAGCCAUGCCGCGUGAGUGAAGAAGGCC
rnacentral:rRNA from 1 species